UUAUUGUUGGUGGAGCUCACAGUGUUAUUGUAUUAAAAAGAGCCAUCUGUGCCAGAAACAAUGGCUUCAAAUUAUCUCUGAAUACGCAGUGAAAAAAUAUAAAGCUUUCUCCUUUCUCAUUAUGUUUGGUGGGGGGUUUUGUAGACUUGCUAUAAGUGACUUUUGUUGUUCUUGAUGCAUUCUUCUUCUUUUUCAAUCGGCCUCUUUUCAGAUGGUGUGGAGCUGUAGAGGGACUGAGGCGGGUGGGAGCAGCCGCGCAGCGAGCACUCUGAGCGGGCACACGGAGCGAGUGGACGCUGAUGGAUCAUGAGAGCGGCCGCCGGAGGAAAGGGCAGCCGGGAAGAGCGCUCGGUCGCCGGGUGCGCAUGUGAGGAUCCUCCCGGGAGGCAGACGGAACUCUGGAUGUGUCAGUCAAACUGAGUUGGAAACGAGGACUGUGAGCGACACCACAGCGUGUAAGUUUCUUGCCUGUAAAACUCUGCUCUGCUUGGGGAGAUAAAACGGCCCAAAUGAAACGAAGACGCACGUCAAGCAUGGCGGUGAUAAUUGGAUUGUGUGGACACCUGUAUGAGUGCAGUAUAUCCAGGGGAUUAGAGAACGGGAUGGCUUUUACAGGUUCUGCCCAAACCUGUGAGCUGAAUUCUCCUGAUUUGUCAGCUCGCGGAUGACCAGAUCUGAGGACACUGGUGUCAGCGAACUUCAAGCAUCAACUUUGACCUCUCAGUAAAUUUAGCUGGACCCAUGGUAAAAUGAUUGUGUAUAUGGAAUUUAUUAAUGUCACUGUAUUCUGCGUGACUCAUUUCACCAAAAAAAGAAACUCCAAUCUAUUAUGAUACGAUAAGCUUCAGUCAAAUUGCCCUAGUAAAAUGUAAUUAAUCACACUACUACAGUUUUAAACCACUGUAAAGAUAAAAAAAAAUAAAAAAUACUACAAAACAAACUUUUACA
ensembl:lncRNA